rnacentral:lncRNA from 1 species
GUCUUAAAGCAGCUGGAGAUGAGCGCCGAGGAGCUGGGUCUAGAAGACAAAACAAAACAAAAAAAAAGACUUUGCGGAACGGUCUGCCUGAAGGCUUCGGGAAGGGGACAAAGAGAACAGGCCGGGGUAGUUAUUUGUAUAAAAAGUGGGAUAUGGCGUUUUUAACGUUUGGGGGACGUCCGCAGCUUCCGCAGGGGCAGAAGGUAAGGCGCUUGUGCUCGCUAUGGCGCCGGCAGCACCAAGGACAGCGCCCAGGUCGGCGAGUGGGAGGUGCAGCCACCCGGGGGGCUUGUCACCCAGCCUGGCCUGUCAGGUUGGCAGGGGGCAGGGGGUUCCCUUCCCCCUCUUCUCUCCGAGUAAAUACAAUUUAAACCUGCCUGUAGUGACUAUCUUUGCAGGAGCGAAGCUGGAAUCACAGGCUAAGACUUCCCUGCAAUGCAGGGUUGGCACAAUGGACAGAUCGCAGAUUUUGAAAACAACCAAAAUUCAUUAAAGUCAGUUAACAGAAAUAUAUACUUGUAGCCCAGUUUGAGUUUUCUAACAUAUGGUGGUAUAGGAAAUGAAGAGAUACAGGGCCUGAAAUGUGAAGGUCAAAUACUCCUUGGAAAGGAGAAUUUGAAAUCUGUUGGGAUGAAAAGUCCAGGGAAAUAUAGUUUUUCUUAAGUUUGGACACAGACAAUUGCCUUGUCAUCUUUCGGUUCAGUAUUCCCUAUGUGUAACUGCAAUGAUUGAAAAGGCAUCUGAAUUAACUUUAAAUUGAUUUAAAAGUUGCGGAACAGAGUCACCACAACCUUGAAUAAAAUCAGAUGUUUUCCCUUCAUUUAAAAUGUAAUAUAUUUUUCGCUUUAGAUUUUAAUGAUUGAUUUGGAAUAGAUUUUCUAUAUCAUUAAACAUGUUUAUGCAAACAAGAACUCUACACAGACUUCUUGCUGUCUGGUGUACUCCUGUUAAAAUGUCCCUUUAUUUUGGGUAGUGCUUUGGGGGUAAUUCAGGUUAAAAAAGUUCAGAAUACUACAAGAUAAAGUGAAGAAGAGAUUGCAGAACUAACAACAGCGCUGGGGCCACAGAGACGGGGUUUCACUACGUUGCCCAGGUUGGUCUGGAACUCCAGGACUCACUCAAUCUUCUAGCCUCGGCCUCCCAAGGUGCUGGGAUUACAGGCGUGAGCCACCGUGCCUACUCGAAUGAGGUUUUUGGCAUUGUGCUUGCACUGAAUAAAAGCAAGCAGCUCCAGCUUCUCCGGGCUGCUCUUUGGACACCAGAGCCAGGCAGUCACCUAGCUGCUCUUACAGUGCAUACCUGUGUCUGAAUGGUCAUUUCAUCCAUCUGCCAGCGUCUGCAGGACAGAGCCAGCAGGUGGUGCCCUGUGUGAGGAAUGCUGCAACAGAUUGUGACAAAACCCUCGAGAAUGAAAGUGAAGUGACUGCGCACCCCGCCGUUACCGAGUAAAGGUGCCACAGAGGAGACAAAUAUUUUCCCUGAGCCCUCUCUCCCAAUAUAUUGGAAAAAAUACAAGGGAUACACUACUGUUAUGGGACCCUGUCUUAGUCAAGUGGAAUUAGAAGGGAGCUCUUGACCUGCCCAGUGAUGCAAGAUCAACAAGACAAUCAGUAAGAAACGUACAAACAUUAAGAAGAGCCUAUUCAGAAAAGACAG